ensembl:lincRNA
GUUCUGUGUUUCAGGGGGGCUGGUGCUGCAGAUGGGGGGGCCGUGCGCUCUGCUCCCCGCUGGGCACUGCCCUCUGCUGAGUCUGCACACAGCUGAGUCCUGAGUCCAGUUUUCUCCGGUGAGGAGACCCAGGCAGCAGCACCCAUUUGCAGACCCAGCAGCCAAGGACGUCCCUGGUAGCCAAGCUGGUGCCUGCUGGGUCUGGGGUGCACUGGCAUCACCCCACCUUACAAACCCAUGAGAUGCCAGCAUGCAGAGCCAGCUUGGGUGGUGGGAAUGAAGAGGAAAAUGAGGCACCGAACAUUCUAGUCCUGUCUCCCCCCACAGCAUUAACAUCCCAACCUGUGCACUCCUGGACUGGUGCCUCCAGGAACCAGACCCAUUCACUCUGGCCACUCACGGGCAGAGGGACUCCAUUGAUGCCGGAGCAGAUUGCACGUAGGUGGGGAGUCUGAAGGUGGUGACUGCACCAGGGUUGCAGUGAGAGGUGAGGAAGGAAGGGUGAGAGGUCCUGUAUCUCAGCUCUGAUCUUGGGGGAAGGUGGCAGGGCUGGGUACUAGGGACGGAGCAGGUGCCUGGUGCAGGCAUGGGGUGGGAGCGCCGGGUCCCUUGAGCGAGUCACUUGCUCCUUUAGGCUUCAGGGUUCACAGCCCAGCAGAGUCGCCUGUGGGAAGCACUUACCCCCGUCAGAUGCCUUUGGCAUUUUUGUGAGGUGCCAGGAAUGUUUGGGGUGCUUGGGACCGGAUGGUCUCGCUUUCCACCUGGCAGGUCAUUUUGCUGCAUAACUAAGACGCAGUGACUCCGCGUGACCGAGGGCAUGCAGGACGGUGAUCUCUGUUCCGGCCAGCGGCGGUGGCCAGGAGCCAGUAGAGGGGAACUCCAAGUUGGGUGAGAGGAGCAUAGACGUGAAGCUAGCUGUGCCCAGCUGGCGUGGGCAGGAAACGCUUCUGUGAGGCUGAGGGCCAAUGCCCUUGCAAGAGAAUCCUGGGCUCUAUUUUCCCGUUUCCCCCUAGAACAAAGUCUCCCCUUCCAGCUGACUGAUAACGUGGCAGGCAGCAGUGACUCCCUCAGCACUGUGGCAGGGAUCCACUCGCCUCCCCUGGGCCCUGGGUGUUGUCUGGACUCACUGGGCUGCUGUAAUGGAGCACUGCAGGCUGGGGCUUUAGACAGCUCACAUUUCCCCACAGCUCGGAGCCAGGUUUCCCGUGUCCUCUGAGGGUGCUGGGGAGGGUUCUUCUUGUUUCUCCCAGCUUCUGUGGCUCCUGGUGGUCUCUGUCACUCCAUGGCUUGUGGCUGUAUCACUCUGACCUCUGCCUCCUGUCACCUGGCUGUCUUCCCUGUGUGCCUUGGUCCAUGUUUCUUCUUACAAGGGUGCCAGGUAUGUUGGGUUUAGGGCCCACCUACUCUAAAGUGACCUCAGCUUAAUUGGAUCCAUGUACCCCUAUUUCACCAAGCACAGUGGCACACAGCUGUAAUCUCACCUGUUUGGGAGGCUGAGGCAGGAGAAAUGUGAAUUUGUUGGCCAGUCCGUGCAGCUUAGUGAGACUCUGUCUCAAAAGUGAAAAGGACCAAGGAUGGAGCUCAGUGGUGGAGCACUUGCCUACCCUGUGCAAGGCCCUGGAUUCCAUCCUUAUUGUUGCAAAAACAAGCACCACCACCCCACCCCUACCCGCCGCGCAAUUCCAAAUUAAUUUAUAUUCUGCAGUUCUGGUGGACAGG